rnacentral:rRNA from 1 species
CAACAGGGAUUGCCCCAGUAACGGCGAGUGAAGCGGCAACAGCUCAAAUUUGAAAUCUGGCCCCUCCCACGGGGGGGCCCGAGUUGUAAUUUGCAGAGGAUGCUUCUGGCGAGGUGCCUUCCGAGUUCCCUGGAACGGGACGCCACAGAGGGUGAGAGCCCCGUCUGGUCGGACACCGAGCCUCUGUGAAGCUCCUUCGACGAGUCGAGUAGUUUGGGAAUGCUGCUCUAAAUGGGAGGUAUAUGUCUUCUAAAGCUAAAUACCGGCCAGAGACCGAUAGCGCACAAGUAGAGUGAUCGAAAGAUGAAAAGCACUUUGAAAAGAGGGUUAAACAGUACGUGAAAUUGUUGAAAGGGAAGCGCUCACGACCAGACCUGGUCCCGGCGAAUCACCCGGCGUUCUCGCCGGUGCACUUCGGCGGGCUUCCAGGCCAGCAUCAGUCCGCGCCGGGGGACAAAGGCGGUGGGAACGUGGCUCCCCAGGGAGUGUUAUAGCCCGCCGCGCAAUGCCCCGGGGGCGGACUGAGGACCGCGCGUCUACCGCAAGGAUGCUGGCGUAAUGGUCGUCAGCGACCCGUCUUGAAACACGGACCAAGGAGUCGUCCUCGUAUGCGAGUGUUGGGGCGUCAAACCCCCCGCGCGUAAUGAAAGUGAACGGCAGGUGAGAGCCCUCGCGGGCGCAUCAUCGACCGAUCCUGAUGUUCUCGGAUGGAUUUGAGUAGGAGCAUACGGGGCCGGACCCGAAAGAAGGUGAACUAUGCCUGUGUAGGGUGAAGCCAGAGGAAACUCUGGUGGAGGCUCGCAGCGGUUCUGACGUGCAAAUCGAUCGUCAAACAUGGGCAUGGGGGCGAAAGACUAAU